rnacentral:misc_RNA from 1 species
UAGAUCAGAACAUGAUGGUUAUACAUGUAGGCCAAAUCGUUCUAUUAAGUAAACAUGUCAUGUAGUCGUCGACUGUUUGUUUGUACGUGUUUCUAUCUACUGGCGAUCACCAUAGGAUCAUCUUAUGGUCAUAAAGAGUGUACCCAGGGAAUAAAAAAUUCAUCAUUAAAAUGUUGUAUUGGUUACCGAGAGAUAGAGAAUAUGUGCACAGAAUGCAUUGGAUUUUAUGGAGAGGAAUGUAGUAUACCCUGUCCAGCAGGAUUCUAUGGACGUCAAUGUAAAACACCCUGCAACUGUUCUCCAUACGAAACUUGUAAUCAUUUCGUUGGCUGUAAAUCAGACUUCACAUGUGGUGAAGGUCAUCAUUCGGUAAAAGGUAACCUAAAAUGGAUGUUGAUGAUCUUCUUCAUAUGCCUGCAAGGCUUCAAUUUGGUUUUCUGCAUCGGUUAUCCACUUAGAAAAAGAAAGAACUGGAUAAGAAAAAUGAUGAUAAGAAAAAUGGGAAAGUGUAGAAGAUGCUUUCUUUUUUCCCAGCAAAAAGGUAAAACGGUUCGAAAUAAAGGACACAGUGACAGCCACCCAAUGCACAGAAGCGCUGAUUAUGGAUAUGUAGGUGAUGGCUACCAUCAAAUUCAUUUUCCAAAUUAAAACCUUUCGAUUUUGCUCCGAUCAAUGCACUGUGAAAGACAAUCAUUAACCCAACUAUAAAAUUGUGACGAUGCUAGCUUAGAUAAUGCCCCCAAAAUUUGUCGAUACACUGCGUUUUACUGGAUUGCACCGAAUACUGUUUUAUUUCUCGAUGCAGAAAAAAGUCACUGUUGCUUUGAACUUUAUGAAAACUUUUGAACAUUUACUUGUCAGUGCUGGCUUCAUAUAUGUUCAACACUGUCUUGCAACUUCAUUUGCAUUUUAUGAUUAAAGGCAAAAAUCCGUAUAUUAAAUAAAAGAAACUUUUUUCACAGGAU